CAACUUUCGACAACGGAUCUCUUGGCUCUCGCAUCGAUGAAGAACGCAGCGAAAUGCGAUAAGUAAUGUGAAUUGCAGAAUUCAGUGAAUCAUCGAAUCUUUGAACGCACCUUGCGCCCUUUGGUAUUCCGAGGGGCAUGCCUGUUUGAGUGUCAUU
rnacentral:rRNA from 3 species